rnacentral:rRNA from 1 species
GAUGAACGCUGGCGGCGUGCCUAAUACAUGCGAGUCGAGCGAACAGACGAGGAGCUUGCUCCUCUGACGUUAGCGGCGGACGGGUGAGUAACACGUGGAUAACCUACCUAUAAGACUGGGAUAACUUCGGGAAACCGGAGCUAAUACCGGAUAAUAUAUUGAACCGCAUGGUUCAAUAGUGAAAGACGGUUUUGCUGUCACUUAUAGAUGGAUCCGCGCCGCAUUAGCUAGUUGGUAAGGUAACGGCUUACCAAGGCAACGAUGCGUAGCCGACCUGAGAGGGUGAUCGGCCACACUGGAACUGAGACACGGUCCAGACUCCUACGGGAGGACGCAGUAGGGAAUCUUCCGCAAUGGGGGAAAGCGUGACGGAGCAACGCCGCGUGAGUGAUGAAGGUCUUCGGAUCGUAAAACUAUGUUAGUAGGGAAGAACAAAUGUGUAAGUAACUAUGCACGUCUUGACGGUACCUAAUCAGAAAGCCACGGCUAACUACGUG